rnacentral:rRNA from 1 species
ACUUGCGACCAUUCAGCUCUGGGCUAAGACCCUUUUAGUACUAAAUCAGGUCAUGCCUGGUCAGUACUUGAAUGAGAAAUCAUCAAGGAAAACCUGUAUGAUGCAACAA